UACGUAGGGGGCUAGCGUUGUCCGGAAUCAUUGGGCGUAAAGCGCGUGUAGGCGGUCCGGUAAGUCCGCUGUGAAAGUCGGGGGCUCAACCCUCGGAUGCCGGUGGAUACUGUCGGGCUUGAGUACGGAAGAGGCGAGUGGAAUUCCUGGUGUAGCGGUGAAAUGCGCAGAUAUCAGGAGGAACACCAAUUGCGAAGGCAGCUCGCUGGGACGGUACUGACGCUGAGGCGCGAAAGCGUGGGGAGCGAACAGG
rnacentral:rRNA from 1 species